UACGUAGGGCGCAAGCGUUGUCCGGAAUUAUUGGGCGUAAAGAGCUCGUAGGCGGUUUGUCGCGUCGGUUGUGAAAGCCCACAGCUUAACUGUGGGUCUGCAUCCGAUACGGGCAGACUAGAGGCAGGUAGGGGAGCAUGGAAUUCCCGGUGUAGCGGUGAAAUGCGCAGAUAUCGGGAGGAACACCGGUGGCGAAGGCGGUGCUCUGGGCCUGUACUGACGCUGAGGAGCGAAAGCGUGGGGAGCGAACAGG
rnacentral:rRNA from 1 species